rnacentral:snRNA from 16 species
AUACUUACCUGGACGGGGUCGACGACUGAUCAUCAAGAGUCGUGGCCUAGGCUAGUGGUCCACAUUGCACUUGGUGGAUGCGCUGGUUUACCAUCUCCCCAAGUGGGAGAGUGGACAUCAUAAUUUGUGAUAGAGGGGUAUGCGUUCGCGCGGCCCUGUC